AUUGAACGCUGGCGGCAGGCCUAACACAUGCAAGUCGAACGAGUGGCGGACGGGUGAGUAAUGUCUGGGAAACUGCCCGAUGGAGGGGGAUAACUACUGGAAACGGUAGCUAAUACCGCAUACCAUCGGAUGUGCCCAUAUGGGAUUAGCUAGUAGGUGUGGUAAAGGCGCACCUAGGCGACGAUCCCUAGCUGGUCUGAGAGGAUGACCAGCAACACUGGGACUGAGACACGGACCAGACUCCUACGGGAGGCAGCAGUGGGGAAUAUUGCACAAUGGGGGCAAGCCUGAUGCAGCCAUGCCGGGUGUAUGAAGAAGGCCUUCGGGUUGUAAAGUACUUGCAGCGGGGAGGCGUUACUCGCAGAAGAAGCACCGGCUAACUCCGUGCCAGCCGCCGCGGUAAUUC
rnacentral:rRNA from 1 species